GGUUGUUGAAUCGUUUAUGUAAUAUUUCUCAUAAAUGUAAUCUCAUAAUAAAUCGCCGUUAUAAAAAAAUAAAGGAAUCGACUAUUCCCUUAAUUCCCCGUGUCACCGUCUGGACAGUAAACUUGUGGAGUCUUAGACUAGCCAAUCUAAUAUAAAUUUGAGUGUAAAAGUAAGAAAAAAGCAACAAUUUCUUAUUUUUGUCGUCGAUGAAAAGAACAAUGACUUUAAGAAAUUGCGCUAUUAAAGAUAAUGAUAAUACGGAAAUAUAUAUCAACCUCAACU
rnacentral:lncRNA from 1 species